AUUGAACGCUGGCGGCAUGCCUUACACAUGCAAGUCGAACGGUAACGGGCCUUCGGGUGCCGCCGAGUGGCGCACGGGUGCGUAAUACAUCGGAACGUGCCCGAUCGUGGUGGAUAACGAGGCGAAAGCUUUGCUAAUACCGCAUACGAUCUACGGCUGAAAGCAGGGGACCGCAAGGCCUUGCGCGGACGGAGCGGCCGAUGGCAGAUUAGGUAGUUGGUGGGAUAAAAGCGUACCAAGCCGACGAUCUGUAGCUGGUCUGAGAGGAUGAUCAGCCACACUGGGACUGAGACACGGCCCAGACUCCUACGGGAGGCAGCAGUGGGGAAUUUUGGACAAUGGGCGCAAGCCUGAUCCAGCCAUGCCGCGUGCAGGAUGAAGGCCUUCGGGUUGUAAACUGCUUUUGUACGGAAAGAAAAGCCUUCUGUUAAUACAGGGGGGUCAUGACGGUACCGUAAGAAUAAGCACCGGCUAACUACGUG
rnacentral:rRNA from 1 species